rnacentral:rRNA from 1 species
CAGGCUUAACACAUGCAAGUCGCGGGGCAGCAUGAAGGAUGCUUGCAUCCUUUGAUGGCGACCGGCGCACGGGUGAGUAACGCGUAUCCAACCUGCCUGUUACCACGGCACAGCCCGUCGAAAGGCGGAUUAAUGCCGUAUGUGGUCCUUUGCGGGCAUCUAAUUAGGACUAAAGGUUCAGCGGUAACGGAUGGGGAUGCGUCCGAUUAGCUAGACGGCGGGGUAACGGCCCACCGUGGCGACGAUCGGUAGGGGUUCUGAGAGGAAGGUCCCCCACACUGGAACUGAGACACGGUCCAGACUCCUACGGGAGGCAGCAGUGAGGAAUAUUGGUCAAUGGGCGUAAGCCUGAACCAGCCAAGUAGCGUGAGGGAAGACUGCCCUAUGGGUUGUAAACCUCUUUUGUGCGGGGAUAAAGUGUGGGACGUGUCCCAUAUUGCAGGUACCGCACGAAUAAGGACCGGCUAAUUCCGUGCCAGCAGCCGCGGUAAUACGGAAGGUCCGGGCGUUAUCCGGAUUUAUUGGGUUUAAAGGGAGCGCAGGCCGUCCUUUAAGCGUGCUGUGAAAUGCCGCGGCUCAACCGUGGCACUGCAGCGCGAACUGGAGGACUUGAGUACGCACGAGGUAGGCGGAAUUCGUGGUGUAGCGGUGAAAUGCUUAGAUAUCACGAAGAACUCCGAUUGCGAAGGCAGCUUACCGGAGCGCAACUGACGCUGAGGCUCGAAAGCGCGGGUAUCGAACAGGAUUAGAUACCCUGGUAGUCCGCGCGGUAAACGAUGGAUGCCCGCCGUUGGGGUUUUGAUUUCAGCGGCCAAGCGAAAGCGUUAAGCAUCCCACCUGGGGAGUACGCCGGCAACGGUGAAACUCAAAGGAAUUGACGGGGGCCCGCACAAGCGGAGGAACAUGUGGUUUAAUUCGAUGAUACGCGAGGAACCUUACCCGGGCUUGAAUUGCAGGAGAACGAUCCAGAGAUGGUGAGGCCCUUCGGGGCUCCUGUGAAGGUGCUGCAUGGUUGUCGUCAGCUCGUGCCGUGAGGUGUCGGCUCAAGUGCCAUAACGAGCGCAACCCUUAUCACUAGUUACUAACAGGUGAAGCUGAGGACUCUGGUGAGACUGCCAGCGUAAGCUGUGAGGAAGGUGGGGAUGACGUCAAAUCAGCACGGCCCUUACGUCCGGGGCUACACACGUGUUACAAUGGGGGGUACAGAGGGCCGCUACCACGCGAGUGGAUGCCAAUCCCAAAAACCUCUCUCAGUUCGGACUGGAGUCUGCAACCCGACUCCACGAAGCUGGAUUCGCUAGUAAUCGCGCAUCAGCCACGGCGCGGUGAAUACGUUCCCGGGCCUUGUACACACCGCCCGUCAAGCCAUGGGAGCCGGGGGUACCUGAAGUGCGUAACCGCGAGGAGCGCCCUAGGGUAAAACUGGUGACUGGGGCUAAGU